rnacentral:lncRNA from 1 species
AUUAAUGACAUUUUGCAUAUGGCCAUCCAAAAUUGUUAGGUCAAGCUGAUAGUGCAUAGAAGCCACAAUAUAAUAAACAGAGGUCUCAUAUAUUAAAAUGACUAUGCUUGUUUACAAGAACAAGAUCCAACGAUUACAAAAUGCGAAACUAUCUAGUUGCCCAAUUCUCAACCUUGCAAUCAAAGUCGAAUUAUUCUAAAACAUACUGUCUCAAACAUUGACCCUAAAUGACAAUUCUACAACAGAAUGUGGAACUAUUAGGGAGUAACCCCAUUGAGCAAUAUGUAGCGUCCUCCCUUGUCCCACACCGCCUUCUGAUCUCCACCUUGCGGCACCUCUCAAUUUUCUUCUUGCAUGCUCCAGCAAACUUGUGUUAUUAAAGGCCACAUGACACUGUUGAUGUUUUCUAGCUUUCAUUCUGUAUAGUAUCAGAUAGAAAAAGAAUAGAGCAACCUAACAAUCAGCAUGUAGCUACCAUGUGUACGUAUUUGAUAAGAAAAUAUAUAUCACAUCUCAAUUGAAAACUGCAUGAAUCCGUUUGUGCUGAGCCAAACCAUUCCCAUUGAAGAAACACGGUGAGAGCGUAAGAACAGAUCUUACCUAGCUUGUGACUGAUGGGUCCUUACUCUUAUGUGUAAGUGGUCAUAAUGUACGUCUGCAGCCAACUCUGUACAAAUACAAGAAAACCUUACAAAAUAAAAUACGUGAAGAUGGCAAUGAAUAGCUUAUCUGAACUGGCAAUGCGUAGCUUAUUCUGAACUUCUUGUGGAUUCAGGUACGUAGAAUGAAUAGAAACAACAUAAAAUAGGUGAAGAUGGUGCAAAAUAAAAUUGGGAUAUUUGCAUUAUGAGAUCAUGAACAAUACAUAAGAAAUGAAUAAUGGUCGACUAAACUAACUGAGUGACGUAUACAAACUUAAUCGAACCUCAAUAUGAUACAUAAUUUCGUACUAUUUUCCUGUUGUUGUAUGCAAAAGAAAUUUCGGUUGUACAAUUUAGUUAAGUUAACAUACAAGUCACGAUGAACUCAACUACAAAAUUGCUACAGGAUCCAUCAUAUAAACGAAGAUCCAUCAUAUAAACGAUUAAUGCUUCAGACUCUCAGUUAAUUAUUGGUGAAUUGCACCAUAAAGACAUCCAAAGUAAAAAAACAGAAUAGUUCAUAUAUUUCUUCCAAUAAAAAUAAAUGAUCAACUACUUGCAGACUUGAUCGGCCAUAUAGACUGUAGUGUAGAUGGUGGCCAAUUGUGAUAUUAUUCUUGAUUCCACUGGGAGGAUUUGUACAGCAUAAAAAAAACCACGCCAUGGCAUGAAGCACUCAAGCUCACCCGAAAAUCUCAUGUUGUUUCUUUUCCAUUUCUGGUGGCUGUCAAAAGCAUAAUAUGACCAUGUCUAAAUAAAUUUUAGGAGUAUGCUAGAACAACAUAUGAAUGAUGAAUGUAUGAUUCUACAAAGCAAAUGGUAAAACCAAACAGUAGUACAAAGGUUAUGCUUUAUGAGUAUAUGCCUAACUCAACGAUAGUUGGUUAAUCAUUAGGAUAAAAUGCUAGUCUUUUAUCUGAGGUGCGGAAUGAACCACAUCUACCAGAAACUUUAAUGUCAAAAUCUUUGCAGAAAAUGCAACCAAAUACUCCAUGUAUAGGUAAUCAGAGGGUUCGGCAACUCUGCUGUUAUGUUGUGACUGUGCGGAUGUUGUAGCUUCAAAAUCCACCAUCCACUCUAAUCCAAAGGCUCUCCUUCAUCUUCCUCGUUUCUCUCAUUAAUUAAAAAACACCACACAACCACGCCGCACGUUCCUCAAGUUCCCUGCACCGGUGGACCGGCCAGCCAGGUUGUCCACACAGCCGCGUUGAUUUAGCCGGCACACAUGGCGCCGGGACGUCAAAGGCCAGUAGCUCAACUAUGUAUGAUCAAUCAACUCUACAUCAAAGAAAUACUAACUCUGCAUGUCUGGUGACUCCAUGUUUAGUAGCCACAUAACGCCUUGUUCGACAUAUCCUAAAGGAGGUUGGCAAGCGCUCGACCUCCGACAUCGCCGUCGCUGUGCGUUUGGGCUUCACGAGCAUGGCUGCGGCGGCAACAUAACAUCUUGAUUUUAGAAGCCAUGAGCUCCUGGCGUUUGGCAUUGCGGCGGCGUUGGUGCCGGCUUAACCAACACGGACACAUGGACUUGUGGACAAUCUGGCUGGCCGGUCUACCGAUGCAGGGAGCUUGAAGAACACCAUCGUGGGCUGUGAUGGUGUUGUGUUUUUUUUUAAUUAAUGAGAGAAACGAGGAAGAUGAAGGAGAGCCUUUGGAUUUGAGUGAAUGGUAUAUUUUGAAGCUACAGCAUCCGCACAGUCACAACAUAACAGCAGAGGAGCCAAACCCGUAAUCAGAAUAUUAUUGUGCAAAAGGCUGAACAUACCAAAAAAAGGAUUAUGCAGAGCAUCAUUAGGGGAUCCUAGUUGUGGAGGACACCGCCGGGAAAUAGCAUUGGACCUGAUUGUAGCGAAACACCAAUCAUUACACAUCCAUCUGCCUCUAAAGAUACAAGUAAUUGACAUCGAAGUGCACUAAAGCAGGUUAAUCCCUCACACUAUUAGCCAAGGCAAGGUAAAGAUUAUAACACGAUCGGCUUAUCUAUUUGCAGAUCUAUUGCCAAUAGUUUGAAAACUUAUCUGUAGGACAAUUUUAUAAUACAUACACAUACAAAUUGCAUCAGAUAAAACAAAAUUGGGUAUGAAUAUUAAAGCCACAUGCUCGCAAUCCAUAACACAUUCAGGUUACCCAAAUAUGUUGUGUCUGACAAACUAUUAACCCAAUCACAUGACGAUAUAGUGAACACAAAUCUUAUUAGUGGCCAGGUAAGUGUGGUACUAACCUCGACGCCAUGACAUACUUGAGAUUUACAGAUCUCGGAGAUUACAUGAUAU